GUACAUCUAACCACCUUGGCAUGUUUACUGUCGUUGACGUACUCAGCACCAGUAGGAUCGUGUACAGUGAACAACUACACAUUUGACAAUGGUGCCACCUACAGUGUUCCUGAAUUUUA
rnacentral:sRNA from 1 species